rnacentral:tRNA from 2 species
GCCCGGGUGGUGGAAUGGUAGACACAAGAGACUUAAAAUCUCUUGCUCUCUGUGGGCGUGAAGGUUCGAGUCCUUUCCCGGGCA